rnacentral:rRNA from 1 species
CUUGGUCAUUUAGAGGAAGUAAAAGUCGUAACAAGGUUUCCGUAGGUGAACCUGCGGAAGGAUCAUUAUCGUAGGGCUUCGGCCCUGUCGAGAUAGAACCCUUGCCUUUUUCGAGUACCGUCCGUUUCCCCAGCAGGCUUGCCUGCUACUGGGGACCCAAAACCAAACUCUUUUGUACCUGUAAUCGUCUGAAAACAAAACAAAAAUUAAAACUUUUAACAACGGAUCUCUUGGUUCUGGCAUCGAUGAAGAACGCAGCGAAAUGCGAUAAGUAGUGUGAAUUGCAGAAUUCAGUGAAUCAUCGAAUCUUUGAACGCACAUUGCGCCCUUUGGUAUUCCUUAGGGCAUGCCUGUUCGAGCGUCAUUUAAACCCUCAAGCUCCGCUUGGUGUUGGGUGUCUGUCCUGCCCCCCGGGGCCGGGACUCGCCUUGAAAUCAUUGGCGGCUAGUACAUUGGCUUCGAGCGCAAGCAGAAACGCGAACCUCGGGUCCCGGUGUAUUGGCUCCCAUAAGCUACCCUUCUAUUUUGACCUCGGAUCAGGUAGGGAUACCCGCUGAACUUAAGCAUAUCAAUAAGCGGAGGA